rnacentral:rRNA from 1 species
UCCCAGCAGUCCGAGUCGUGGCCGCAAUUAUUGGGUCUAAAACAUUCGUAGCUUGUUUGGAAAGUCUCUUGUGAAAUCGUCUCGCUUAACGAGAUGGCGUGCAGGGGAUACUACCAGGCUUGGGACCGGGAGGCGUGAGAGGUACAUCUAAAGUAGUAGUAAAAUAUGUUAAUCUUAGAUGGACCAACAAUGGCGAAGGCAUCUCACGAGAACGGAUCUGACGGUGAGGAAUGAAGGCUAGGGGC